rnacentral:ncRNA from 2 species
GGUGAUUGGUGUGCAGCCGGUCGCCCUCAAGGCCCGUGGUGUCAGGGAAGCCGGUGCGAUUCCGGCGCGGUCCCGCCACUGUGACCGGGGAGUCCGUCCUCGCAGGACACGCCACUGACGGUGCAGAAGCCGUCGGGAAGGCAUGAGGGCGCGCGCUGAUCCGGGAGUCAGGAUACCGGCCGCGGGAUGUUCCGUGUUU